UGUGUAGGCGGUGAUCUAAGUUUGUCGUGAAAUCUCCCGGCUUAACUGGGAGGGUGCGGCGAAAACUGGAUUGCUUGAGUAUGGGAGAGGUAAGCGGAAUUCCUGGUGUAGCGGUGAAAUGCGUAGAUAUCAGGAGGAACACCUGUGGUGUAGACAGCUUACUGGACCAUCACUGACGCUGAGACACGAAAGCGUGGGUAGCAAACAGGAUUAGAUACCCUGGUAGUCCACGCCCUAAACGAUGCAUACUUGGUGUGAGCGAUUCAUUUCGUUCGUGCCGGAGCUAACGCGUUAAGUAUGCCGCCUGGGGAGUACGGUCGCAAGGCUGAA
rnacentral:rRNA from 1 species